GACUGUAGAAUAUUGCAUAUUCUAUGUUUCUAUUGAUUAUAUAUGGAUGUGUGGAUUGACAUAAGUAACAGAUGGUAUCAAUAAGUCACAAGGCUUUCUUUGUCCGAGAGCUCUGGAAUGUGGAUGUGGGGGUUUUGUCCUUAUAUGGCUAGAGUUAUAUGCUGACGUUAGUAUUGGCACUUCCUUAUAGUAAGAGAGGGACACGAGGUGGCUCUCAGUCUACUCUUGGCUUGGCUCUGUACAACGAUGUAACUCUCCCAUCAGAAGUCCAGCAAUUACCAUCUGCUGUUGAAUGUCCAUUAUCCUGUAACAUCAUUUGUUGUUUUAUGUAUCCGUAACUAAGAAUAAACCUGAAGAAACCGUAAGUCAGAUUGCGUAUUACUACUUUUCAAUAAUAUAGACAUAUAUUAUUGUGGCGAGCAUUUGGCCCAAGAAUAUAUAUACAAAAGACGUAUAUAUAUCAAUCAACUGAAGACAAGAAGAAAUUAAGAAAGAGUCUACAUGAACAUCCAUUCAUCUACAUUUUUUACAUUGGCUAGCCUGCCAGUCUUCUAUUCAAGUUUUGUUCCCACUUCAAGGGGGGAGAGAGAAGAAUCGAGUUACAAAGCUAUUUUGGAACUGGGAAAACAAACUUGAAGAGAAAAAAAGAAUCUAGACUGACUGUCAUAGAAGAACUGUGGUUUGUAAGAAAAAUAGAGUUUUCAAAUCAUAAAGACUGUACAAGACUAUUUUCUACAACUGAGACAAAAAGCACAAGAUACAACGUGAAUUCUAGAAGCAAGCACGUGGCAGACAUUGGCAAGCGUCCAAGCAAAGAACUGCGCAGCUGUGUGGAUGAAGCAACGAAAUAGACAGAAAUAACUGAUCUGGUGAGUAACAUGGAAUUCAUAAAUGAUAUUGCAGAGAAAAGUAAAUUGCAGUUUGCAUUUAAUAGCAGCUAUUCAGAUGCUGUAUUGUGGCAAUCUUUAUACACACAAUGUGAAAUUGCCAAUAGUGAAAUUGACAAGAAAUUGUUUGUUAAUAAGAAAAAACAAAAGAUCAGAAAUGUUAUGAAACUAGUCUGUACUUACAAUGCAGUGAUUUGUAAACGAAAUACAGGUAAAGACAAUUUAGAAUCAGCAGAAAAAGAAAUAGAUUUGAAUGGGUUAACAGAAGACAAAUCAGAUUUAAAUGAACAGUGUAACAAUGUAACAGAGAGAACAUUGUCAGAAACAGUCUGUGAAUUAGAGGAUAGAGAUGAACUAAGAAAUGAUUUUAGUUGCCAGUUUACAAAUGAAGUAAAGCAAGUGUGUGUUAAUACAAGAAAAGUAAAGGCACAGAAUCUAAUCCCAGAACUAACAGAUACUGAAAAUGUAUCCUCACUGAGUGAUUUGCAGAAAUGUAAAUUUCAAGACAGAACUGCAAAACUUAAUUUGAAAAUCCAUGAACAAUUAAUGAAAAUUGUGAAAUGUAUUCCAGUUUAUGACACGUCAGUGGAUGCAUUUACUAAUGCUGAAAUGUUUGAGUCUAAUUUAGACAAAUACAGCCUAAAUGACGAACAAAGGAAUAGAUUGUUUAAAAUAUGGCUGCCGACUCAAAUGGCAUGUAGACUGACCACGCUUGUAAAAUGUGAGGACAAUGAUGAAAUAAUAUAUGGAAAUAAGCAAGACAGAUUAACACAAUUAAUAAAAUUAACAACAGGGAAUGAUUUUGCAGACACUGAAAUGUUGGAAAAACUAAAACCACACAAGGGGGAGGAUAUAUUUAGUUUUCUUGUAAAAUUUGAAAAUGCAUAUAGACUUGUUGCUGAUUUUUCUGAAGAUCAGUUAAUUAAUGAAUUUGUGAAAAAAAUUCAAGAUCUAGAUCCAACUGCAAUUGUGUUAGCUAGAGAAAAAAGCACUUUGACAGAAGUAGCUUUGUUCUUGGAUAACUUAAGGAGGGAAACCAAUAAUGAAGGGGUUAAAAUGACUUGUGGAUUUAGGCAGAGAAAGAAGUGCAGAUGUUGCAGCCCUCGUCCCCCUCCUUCUUCUUCUUCUAGGACAGAGUGUAGAGUGAUACAGACAGCUGAGCCCCUCCCAAUUUAUUCAACUAAAAACUGUAGAGUUGAUAAUAAAAGGCAGAAUAUAACUCCUAAAGUUAUUUGUUUUUGGUGCAAUAAACAACAUUAUUUAAGAUCUUGCAGAUAUUUUAUCAGAGAUAUCAAAUCAAAAGCAAAUGAGAAAUUAAAUUUGUUGAUUGAAAAUUUUGACAGAGAAAAUACAUGUGGAGAUAAAUCAAUUAAAGCCUUUCCUUGUAAACUGAUAAUCAGACAAAUAAAAGCAAUUUUAGCUAAAUCAAAAUUAGGAGACAGACAAGCAAUGCAGUGCAACUCAGAAAGUUAUAAGAAUCAGAGAACUUCAAGAGAUAUGAUCAGUUUAGGGAAUGAGCAUGGAUAUGUGUUCCAACAGAUGUACACAGGCUGAUUCCAGAAUUAAGAACAGCACAAGAAUAGAGAUCUAUGUUAGUUUGUUGUUUUAAUGAAUUGUUAGUCUGAACUGUUUUUUCAUUGUUUUAGGUGUGUUAUAAGAAAGUAUUAGGUUAAUUAAUUGAAAUAAAAAUUUACAUCAAGUUUGCAAAUAUGGCAGAAUGAAAUACACUAAUGUAGCAGUUAGGAACAUGCAAUGUAUGUUAUAUUGGGUGUAUGCGAUUAUACAGUAACUCCAAUCAUUUUACAGAAGAAAAAACAAUGUUACUUCUGAGGUUGAUUUAAAAUCUUUGAUUUAAUUCAUGAGAAUGAGAUUUUAAUGUCAUGACUGAUAAUGGAUUACUAUAUUUUGCAAAGCCUGGACAUACAUAUGUUUUGAUUAUAUAGAAGACAAAAGUUUUGAUAGGAUAAAACCUAGAUUUACAAAUACAUUUGAUGUAGGAAACAAUAUAUGUUUUUUGUAGUUUGUUUCAUGUGACAAAAUGGUGCCAGUGUUAAGACAAAAUGGCUGCUAUUGCUAACGUAUAGUGGAAAACAAUAUUUAGUUGUAACAUCUGACAUGUGAUUAGGUUAUACCUCCAGAUUAUUAAACAGUUUAAAAGGGGGGUAUGAGUAAUAAAAAGUUUGAGAAUUGAGAAUUUACAUGUUCAGAAAGAUUUUAAUAUAAGGAAAUUUAAAGAUUAUACAUCACAUGGCAUAGAUGUAAUGACCACUAGAUGGUAGAUCUCAUGAGAGGAUAUGAGUAUGUUUUGUGUAGUCAAUAUGAUUCAAUGUUAAACUGUGUAAUAAUAAUGAGAUAUAAACAUUGUAAGCCAUUGUAUUGAUGCUGCACAUGUUAUUUGUUUUAAUGUAGGUAAAGCGUGACAGAUCCUUGUGGCAAUAAAUCAGGAAAGCAUUCCUUCAGACAACUGGACAUCGACUGUUGGAAAGAGACUUUUCAUCUGAUCGGCAAACUGUGAUGGAAGAUUCUACAGAGUUCAUUCGAUACAGAAGAUUAACAGACUUACAAAGAAAUAAAAGAUUGACACUAACAUACAUAUUAAUUCCUAAAUAUUAACAGAAAAGAAAACAGACAAUGAAAAAUUAUUGAACUGUUAUGAGUAUUAAUACCAAGAGACUAAUUAUAGCUAUAUAACACAUGGAGUAAAAGUAUGAUAGGAUAGUAUUAUGAAGAGAACUAUUACAUUAUUACCUAUACAUAGAAUGAGAAGUAUCAGAGGAAAAUAAAAUAUGAAGUUGAUAAAAUAAGGAUCAUGGUUACUUAAUUCUACAAAGAUUGAGUUCAAUAGUAUCUCAUAGAUUAACUAUAAUGAGUAAUUUGUUUAUAAUUGAGGUGAAGUAAAACAAACAAUGGUAACAUAAGGAAGAAAACUAAGGAAGGAUAAUUUAUAUUGAUUUAUAUUAAGUAAAGGUAUACAUUAAGAAUGCCUUGGAUAUAAGAGUUCAGAGAUCCAAGAGGAAUUGAAUUGAAUGGAAAGAGUAUAGUACACAAUUAUAUUUGACCAAAGUCUAUAAAGGUAUGGACUAGGGAGAAUAGGUUUCUGGAUAUGAUGAUAUCCAAUGAAUACGUUGUUUUAAGAUUUCCCUGAGUUUGUUAGACACAGACUAGGAAUAAGAGUUUCUGGGCAGCAUGACCCCAAGUUUAUUUUAUUUUAUUUUACUUUAGUCAGUUGAAGUGUACUAAGGAAUACGGAUUGGUCAGAAUAAAUGUUAGGGUAACAUUAGGACAAUCCUGCUUUUAACCCCUUAAAACCGCAGGACGUACAAUUACGCCCUCUAAUAGG
rnacentral:lncRNA from 1 species